rnacentral:rRNA from 1 species
UACGGAGGGGGCAAGCGUUGUUCGGAAUUACUGGGCGUAAAGGGCGCGCAGGCGGCUGCUCAAGUCAGGCGUGAAAGGCCUGGGCUCAACCCGGGAAUUGCGCUUGAGACUGGCACGCUCGAGUUCGGGAGAGGUGAGUGGAAUUCCGAGUGUAGAGGUGAAAUUCGUAGAUAUUCGGAAGAACACCAGUGGCGAAGGCGGCUCACUGGACCGGUAUUGACGCUGAGGUGCGAAAGCGUGGGGAGCAAACAGG